rnacentral:misc_RNA from 1 species
GAUGAAGAACGUAGCGAAAUGCGAUACUUGGUGUGAAUUGCAGAAUCCCGUGAACCAUCGAGUCUUUGAACGCAAGUUGCGCCUCAAGCCAUUAGGUUGAGGGCACGUCUGCCUGGGCGUCACAUAUCGUUGCCUGAUGCCAGUUUCCUCGUGAUGGGUGACUGUGCAGGGCGAAUGAUGGCUUCCCGUGAGCAUUGUUGCCUCAUGGUUGGUUGAAAAUUGAGUCCUUGGUAGGGAGCGCCGUGAUAGAUGGUGGUUGAGUGACGAACGAGACACAAUCAUGUGAGACCCCUACCGAUUUUGGCCUUCAUGACCCACAUGCGUCUUUGGAACGCUCAUGACGAGACCUCAGGUCAGGCGGGGCUACCCGCUGAGUUCAAGCAUAUCAAUAAGCGGAGGA